UCCCAGUUAGUACAACGGUUAGUAUACGGCACUUUCACUGCUGAGAUCGGGGUUCGAUUCCCCGGCCGGGAA
rfam:Pseudozyma antarctica T-34 DNA, contig: scaffold00011.